AUCCCACACUAUGAGCAGUCCCCUAUAAGUGGGUACAUAUGUCUUUGCAGGAUUGGGGUCAUAAUUCUUCACAUUUAACUUCCCCUCCACCUCUCUUCCUUGUUGUGAAAGGAAGAAACUGAGUUUAAAGUUGCCAUUGAAAGUGCUCAUGAAGGCAGUAAAAUUGAGAAUGUAGUAGUUGUCUGUUGACCAAUGGUCUAUCUCUUCUGCUGGGCAGUUGCAGAUGCUUCAGUGGGCAGGGGUGUGUGUGGUGUUUUUUAAGAACAUAACUAGGGUUGGCAGAAACUUAUUUUUUAUGUUUAUUUUUAAGCAUUUUUUAAUUUUUAUCAAUUUAUUUUCAUAGUUGCAGAAAAUACUAAGGGUCAGACAAUAUUUAAUAACUUUCAUCGUUGUACACGGUGGUGUUGUAGCUGUGUUGGUCCCAGGAUAUGAGAGACAAGCGGGGUGAGGUAAUAACUUUUAUUGGACCAACUUCUGUUGGUGAGAGAGACAAGCUUCCGAGCUUACACAGAUCUCUCUCUUUCUUCAGGGAAACAUACUCAGUGUCACAGCUAAGUAAAAGACUGAACAGAUUGUUUAGCAUAACUAGCUGACGCAUAUUUAAGGGACCAUCUGAGGUGAAGUGGCCUGUUAACACCCCUCUAGUCAUCCGGGUGGCCUGUUAACACCUCUUUAAUCAUCAUUUUCCUGUGAGUUCAUAGAAAGCAAGUAGUGACUGCCUGGCCUGACCCCACUGUUAUCGGGGCAUUUAGUGCACUGGAUGAGGCACACCAUAUGUGAAACGCAUAUGUAGGACCCAUGAAUCUUGGAAAUGUGUGUUGUGGGAGGUGUUGAUCAUUGUAGCAGUGGAGAUGUCUGCAGGUUUUGCAUCUGUUCUGGCAGGGUCUGAUGCGGCUUGGAGUUUGUGUGUCCUGGUCUGCAGGGAGCUUGCUUCUGAUGAUGAGCUUGGAGAGGCUAAGGUGUUGUUUGAAGGCCAGAAGAGGUGGUUCAGGAAAGAUUACUUUCAGGAUGGGGUCCCCAUUGAGGAUGGGUUGUAGCUAUUUGGGUUGUAGUGUGGGGUGUUCAGUGACAACUAGGGGUUGGAGGGGUUUUUAUUUCUUAUUAAGCAAGUUUUCUCUGUGUAUUUGGGUGGUCUGUUCUAUGAUGCAAUCUUCUCUGUUGGAUAAAGACAUUGGGUUUAUGGCUUAUUACAACAAGCUAUAAACCACUAACAACCCAACCAUCCCCUCAUGCCCGAGCUAGCUUCCUCCCCCCCAUCCUUUUCCUCCAUAUGACUGGAGGGGUGUUAAAGGGCCACUUCCCCUUAAAUGUUCCCUUGAAAUGUGCAUUAACUAGUAAUGCUAAACAAUCUGUUCCACCUUGUAUUUAGCUGAGAUGCUGUGUACCUUUUCUAGAUCGAAGGACGAGAUCUGUUACCUCACCUACCGUGUCUCUCUAAGGUGGUGUCUAUGCUGCCACUUUAGCGCUAAAACUUUUUGCCGCUCAGGGGUGUGAAAAAACACACUCCUGAGCGACAAAAGUUUUUUAGCAUUGAAAAGCACCAGUAUAGACAAUAAAGCUACCACUUCUCAUUCGGGGUGUUUUUAAAUCGCCAGGAGAGCUCUUCCCCCGGUGAUAAAGCGUGUCGACACUGCCCAUGUCACAACGCUGCCGCGGCCAUGCUGUAAUGUGGGUGGUAUAAAAGUACCCUAAUAUUUAAUAACAGUUGACAUUGAGACUCAACGUUAAAACUUUAUGACCUUUAAAACACAAAUUGUCAACAUAUGUCAAAAUAUACAAAGUAAAUAGCCUUAAAUAAAACUUCAGUAAGUUCUCAAGCUGCAUUUUUCUUUCUUUGCCUAUUUAUAAAUUUCAAUUAUUGGUAGAAGUAUUUUUUUCCCAUCAGUUUGUGUGUGUACAGUGAAAUUAACACUUAUGGAUUAAAAAAUGUAAUCCUUCUGGACCUAAAAAUAAUACAGCACAAUGGUCAGUUUGGCAAUAACAGGCCUAUGGGGAAAACUGAUAGUCUGUCAUGCACUGUGAGCAUUAAUAUCCAUUAUGAAUUGUCCUCCUAUCUAGUAUUGGAUAUUAGAAUGAAUAUUAGAAUGUAAUCUUGCUUUUUAAGUUCUUUACUAUGACAUCUCAUUACAAUUAACUCUGUGGGUUAUAUAUGCAGUCUCUUAAACUUUAGUUUUCUCAGCUUUCCCUUAGGCCAAAAGUCAGAAUCUGGGAAUGGGCAACAGGGGAUGGAUCACUUGAUGAUUACCUGUUAUGUUCAUUCCCUCUGGGGCAUCUGGCAUUGGCCACUGUCAGAAGACAGGAUACUGGGAUAGAUGGACCUUUGGUGUGACCCAGUAUGGCUGUUCUUAUGUCAAAACUUUUAGUAACAGCAGCUUAAAAGUAUAGGCUUUUUUUAAAAAAAAAUCCAUUUUUAGUCACUUGCUGACUUUAAAAGGUGCUGAGUACUUAGCAGCUCCCAUUGAAGUUAAUGGGCGCUGUUAGGUGCUUAGCAUUAUUGAAAAUCAGGCUACUUGUGGGCUGUAGUCCACGAAAGCUUAUGCUCUAAUAAAUUUGUUAGUCUCUAAGGUUCCACAAGUACUCCUGUUCUUUUUGCGGAUACAGACUAACACGGCUGCUGCUCUGAAACUUAACUUCAGGUACCCACUGCUUUAAAUCUUGGCGUUGGUUUUCCCACUAUAGAUGCACUCAAUCAAUCUUUCCUGUGCCAUAUAUUAUUUUAUAAAAUUGUAUUACAGAUUAUUCUUUUCACUAACUUGAAUAGUCCUGAUCCUUUUGAGAUUGUUUGCUUUAAGGAAUAGAGUGAGUUCAUGCUACCAUCUAAUGCUUAGAGGUAGAUGGCUUUCUGCACAUCUGAAUAAACCAGGCAGCUGAGAAUCGUAUACAUAGUUCAGAGACUGUUGCAGAAGAGAGGUGGUUUGUUUUGUUUUUUAACAAGAAGUUGGAAAUCUUUGCUCCGUUCAGCAAAUUCUGAGAUCCUAAAAUCUCCAGUCUGAACUUGUUUAUACCCACAAUUUUACAUUUGGUCUGAUAUUGAAGAUGACCCGCAAAAGAGAAUUUGGGGUUGUACACUUGUUUCUUUCUGAUAUAUAAACAGACAAAAGUGGUUUUUUUAAAGGCAUUUUUCUGCUUAGGGUUAUUAGCAUUCUUGGCCCUUAGUUGAAGGCAUUCUGCUCAGUUUUUUCUUUCAACUGUUUGUUGUAGACACUUGUGGUUUAAAAAAAAAAAAAAAAAAAAGUUAAAUAAACGUCUUUUAAAUAGAAUUUUAAAAAACACCAUUCUUCAGUUAAUCAGGUUUAAUUUUCAUGGAUUUUUCCGGUGUCAUGAAUUAUUCUCUGGUAAUCCGUUAGUCUUCCAGGGCAGACAAAGCUUGAAUUUCUAAUAUUCAGCAUCAAACAGCAAAACUGUGCACAAACCAGCUCUUCUUUUUUGUGAGUUAGCCAGGCCCUAGUGAGGGAGAGGCCACAGCCUUCUGAGAGAUUAUGCAGAUUGUUUUAGGAGCAGCCUAAUCAGAGAGGACUUCAAAAUGGCUUUUUGAAUUUAUGCAAGGAAUAUAUAGACUUGAAUGCUCCACUCCCUCUGGCAAACUGCAACUGGCUUUUCUCAACUGUAACUUUUACUACUCUCUCAGCACUCUGGCCAGUUCAUAACCAUCAUGAUCACAGCUAUUGAUAUGAUUGGCCAAGGUGCAGAAAACGCCCCAUUAUUUAUGUUUAGCUUCUAGCCACCUUCAGUGGAACCACGUUUGGCAAUGGCUGUAGCUGGGGAGAGAUGUGGUCAAGAACCCACCUUUCCCAGUGCUCUCAAAGCAAGAUACUUGCGUGUCAUGGGAGAGAUUGGGUGAAGGAAUAAGACGGGAGAGAGAGUGACAAAUAUAUUGGAGGAGGUGGUGGGGGAAAUGAUACCAGUGAGAUUCUGCUCCAAACUUGGCAAGUUUGGAGCUCUGCUGCCCACCUAUAAGUUAUUGGUGGACAAAAAACAAUCUCUUAUGUCUCAAAGCAGAAAACCCAUUCUCCUUUCUUCUCUCUCUCUUUCCUAAUCUUUCCUGUAACUCAGAUAGCUAAAAAUUCAGACUUUCUGGAAUGAGUCAUCUCUGGGUUAAAACCAAGCAAGAAAAGUUGUAGCCCCAAAGAACUAUUUUUUUUCAACAUUAUGAGAGAGAAUUGGGUUGUAAUUGUAUGAGAUUCCAUAUGUAACCUUAACUGUAGGGUUUGCUUCUGUAAAUGGAAAAGCUGUAUACUAUUAAUCUGUGUUCAGAGAACUUUAU